rnacentral:rRNA from 1 species
AACGCUAGCUACAGGCUUAACACAUGCAAGUCGCGGGGUAACAUCUGGGAGAGCUUGCUCUUCCAGGAUGACGACCGGCGCACGGGUGAGUAACGCGUAUCCAACCUGGCCCAUACCACGGGAUAGCCCGUCGAAAGGCGGAUUAAUACCGUAUGCUGUCAUUAAGGUGCAUAUAUUGAUGACGAAAGGAUUGGCGGUAUGGGAUGGGGAUGCGUCUGAUUAGCUUGUUGGCGGGGUAACGGCCCACCAAGGCGACGAUCAGUAGGGGUUCUGAGAGGAAGGUCCCCCACAUUGGAACUGAGACACGGUCCAAACUCCUACGGGAGGCAGCAGUGAGGAAUAUUGGUCAAUGGGCGUAAGCCUGAACCAGCCAAGUAGCGUGAGGGAAGACUGCCCUACGGGUUGUAAACCUCUUUUGUUUGGGAAUAAAGUGCGGGACGCGUCCCGCAUUGCAUGUACCAUUUGAAUAAGGACCGGCUAAUUCCGUGCCAGCAGCCGCGGUAAUACGGAAGGUCCGGGCGUUAUCCGGAUUUAUUGGGUUUAAAGGGAGCGUAGGCCGGAGAUUAAGCGUGUUGUGAAAUGUAGACGCUCAACGUCUGCACUGCAGCGCGAACUGGUUUCCUUGAGUACGCACAAAGUGGGCGGAAUUCGUGGUGUAGCGGUGAAAUGCUUAGAUAUCACGAAGAACUCCGAUUG